CGGGACAGAUAGACAGGUGGUGCAUGGUUGUCGUCAGCUCGUGUCGUGAGAUGUUGGGUUAAGUCCCGCAACGAGCGCAACCCCUAUUGCUAGUUGCCAUCAUUAAGUUGGGCACUCUAGUGAGACUGCCGGAGACAAUUCGGAGGAAGGUGGGGAUGACGUCAAAUCAUCAUGCCCCUUAUGUUCUGGGCUACACACGUGCUACAAUGGGUGUAACAACGGGAAGCAAGCUGGUGACAGCAAGCCAAUCCCUAAAAAGCACCCUCAGUUCGGAUUGUAGGCUGAAACCCGCCUACAUGAAGUUGGAGUUGCUAGUAAUCGCGAAUCAGCAUGUCGCGGUGAAUACGUUCCCGGGCCUUGUACACACCGCCCGUCACACCAUGGGAGUUAGAGGCACCCGAAGCCGGUGACUUAACCGAAAGGAGAGAGCCGUCGAAGGUGAAGCUAGCGACUGGGGUGAAGUCGUAACAAGGUAGCCGUAUCGGAAGGUGCGGCU
rnacentral:rRNA from 1 species